UUGGUGCAUUUAUGUUGUGGUGCUGCAGCGAUUCGGGCUUCGUUUGGGAUUGCGGAGAGAUUGCGUUACGUACAGUGAGAAACGACGAUGAAAAAAUAUCUCGUUUGUUUCCGUAUGUAAUAUUGUGUUCCGCGUAUUGCGGUUAGUCGGUUAUAAUAUAUUUUCUACGGUCCCAUCGAAGAACGCAGAAGUAUACCCUUAUAUGCUUUUUCUCAAUUCAAUUCUAUCUAAUAGCGUUGGAUAAACUUCAAUGUCAAACUAAGCCCCAGUCUAUUAAUAGCAGUAACUUGUUGGGUUUAAACAAUCGACUUAAAAU
rnacentral:lncRNA from 1 species